GCAUGCUUCUUUGCGGUCUGU
rnacentral:siRNA from 1 species